GUCCAAUCAUAGCCAACACUAAGACGUCAAAACGCUGCAAUGCGCGUUCAAAAACUGAGUAAAAAACCACCGUAACACCAAGGUUUUGGAAGGAAUAUCUUUUUUUGAUUUCCUAGUAGCCCCUUGUCGCUGUGCACAAUGGAUAUAUAUUGUCGCGAAAGAAAGAGAAGAAAUAUAGAACCCUUAUAAAAAUUCUAGAAUUGUUCAAUGGUGGUGGCAAAUCAAUGCAAAAAAGUAUUAAAAAAACUUUAUAUGUAUGUGUAAAUAUUUUAAGCGUAUAUGCUGAAAAGGAUUUGUUUUCUGGGGGAAACGAACACAGCCAUAAAAUAAGCCUAAAUUAAACUGAUUAUAGAAAAAUUCAUUGAUAUAAGAUUACAUAUUUGUAAAAAAGAAACCGCUCAUAUAAAAAUGACUUCUAAAAGACAGCUUUAUAACAAACUGAAUCUGUUUAAAGGUAAUUAAACCUACAUUAUUGUUUUAAUUACUUCUGUAUAAAGAAUACGUGGAAAACAUGUUUCGUGUUUCCUUUCAUAUUUUUUUUACUUUAUUCAAUUUUAUUUUUUAUCACCUAUUUGUUGUAAUAGCGGCAAUGUAAAAUAUUAUCUACUACUUUUUUGAAUCGGUCAAAAAUAGUUGCGACCAUACAAAACAAACCUAAAACAAAUAUGUAUAUUCUGCAACUCUAUGUCUUUCAAUACUUACUGUGUUCUGAGCAUUGAAAUGUAAUACCAAGAACUACAUCUAGUUCCACAAUACAAUAAGCACGAAAUUUUAAACAAAUAUUUUUAACCUUAUAAAUUAGGCUUUAAGUAUCAUUUUAGAAUAAAUAUUUUUGUACUGAUGACUUUUUAUGUUCAA